rnacentral:rRNA from 1 species
UGGGGAAUCUUGCGCAAUGCGCGAAAGCGUGACGCAGCAACGCCGCGUGGGGGAAGACGGCCUUCGGGUUGUAAACCCCUUUCAGUUGGGACGAAGCUUCGGCGGUGAAUAGCCGACCGGAGUGACGGUACCUUCAGAAGAAGCCCCGGCUAACUACGUGCCAGCAGCCGCGGUAAUACGUAGGGGGCGAGCGUUGUCCGGAAUCAUUGGGCGUAAAGAGCGUGUAGGCGGCCCGGUAAGUCCGCUGUAAAAGUCCAGGGCUCAACCCUGGAAAGCCGGUGGAUACUGUCGGGCUAGAGUCCGGAAGAGGCGAGUAGAAUUCCUGGUGUAGCGGUGAAAUGCGCAGAUAUCAGGAGGAAUACCAACAGCGAAGGCAGCUCGCUGGGACGGUACUGACGCUGAGACGCGAAAGCGUGGGGAGCAAACAG